AUUGAACGCUGGCGGCAUGCCUUACACAUGCAAGUCGAACGGCAGCACGGACUUCGGUCUGGUGGCGAGUGGCGAACGGGUGAGUAAUGUAUCGGAACGUACCUUUCAGUGGGGGAUAACGUAGCGAAAGUUACGCUAAUACCGCAUAUUCUGUGAGCAGGAAAGCAGGGGAUCGAAAGACCUUGCGCUGAUUGAGCGGCCGAUAUCAGAUUAGCUAGUUGGUGGGGUAAAGGCCUACCAAGGCGACGAUCUGUAGCGGGUCUGAGAGGAUGAUCCGCCACACUGGAACUGAGACACGGUCCAGACUCCUACGGGAGGCAGCAGGGGGGAAUUUUGGACAAUGGGGGCAACCCUGAUCCAGCCAUGCCGCGUGAGUGAAGAAGGCCUUCGGGUUGUAAAGCUCUUUCGGCCGGGAAGAAAUCGCAUAGGCUAAUACCCUGUGUGGAUGACGGUACCGGAAUAAGAAGCACCGGCUAACUACGU
rnacentral:rRNA from 1 species